rnacentral:rRNA from 1 species
UACGUAGGUGGCAAGCGUUGUCCGGAUUUACUGGGCGUAAAGAGCGCGCAGGCGGUCGUGCAAGUCGCGUGUGAAAGCCCCCGGCUCAACUGGGGAGGGUCACGCGAUACUGCUCGACUCGAAGGCAGGAGAGGGAAGUGGAAUUCCCGGUGUAGUGGUGAAAUGCGUAGAUAUCGAGAGGAACACCGGUGGCGAAGGCGGCCUUCUGGACAGUGACUGACGCUGAGACGCGAAAGCGUGGGGAGCAAACAGG